UCAAAUUAUCAAAAAGUAAGGGUUGAACUAAACCAGCUGCAACUGAAAAGAGAAAAUAAGAGCUAGUAGCUAUGCCUGCAAAACAGAAACAAGGUUAACGACUAAAACAAAAUCAGAAACUGGUUAGAAGGUUAGUAAAGAAAAUUGUUAGUAAACAUGUUGUCAAAAUCAAGUCAGCAAAUAGCACUAAAAAAUAAAAAUAAAAGCUAACAGGUAAAACUAAC
rnacentral:lncRNA from 1 species